UACUAACUAGGUUGGGAUUGGAGGCCCUCUAAUUAAUUUUGGUGGGAAUCUCGUCGGCAUGAACUUCUAUGAUGGGCAUGAAGAAACUCCUUUCCUGCCAAGGAGUAAGGUUGUCGACGUUUUAAAGAAAAAGAUUGGUCUAGCACUAUCAUCGGAAAGAGGAUUGAACCAGCCUGAGGAAAUACAGGGAGGGUGGAAGGAAAAUAGGUGGCCCGUGCCCACGCCAUAUUGGUAUCAUGGUGUACUUGAGGUGGAUAGGUGGAUUUUACCGGACGUUCAUGGAAUGAAUCUCCAAUAGAGAGUCACUCAUGUUGUUGGAUUGAUCUAGAAAGUAUUGACUUCUACUCAUCUUAGCAACUAUCUAAUGGACCUGUAGUGCUGGGUUUAUUCUAUUGGGUUGAUCUAGAAGUAUUUGACAGACAGUACAACUGA